UACAGAGGGUGCGAGCGUUGUCCGGAAUCACUGGGCGUAAAGGGCGCGUAGGCGGCCUUCUAAGUCGAACGUGAAAUCCCCGGGCUCAACCCGGGAACUGCGUCCGAUACUGGAAGGCUUGAAUCCGGGAGAGGGAUGCGGAAUUCCAGGUGUAGCGGUGAAAUGCGUAGAUAUCAGGAAGAACACCCGUGGCGAAAGCGGGUCUCUGGGCAGUAACUGACGCUGAGGAGCGAAAGCGUGGGGAGCGAACAGG
rnacentral:rRNA from 1 species